UACGAAGGGGGCUAGCGUUGCUCGGAAUUACUGGGCGUAAAGCGCACGUAGGCGGAUUGUUAAGUCGGGGGUGAAAUCCUGGAGCUCAACUCCAGAACUGCCUUCGAUACUGGCGAUCUCGAGUUCGGGAGAAGGUGAGUGGAACUGCGAGUGUAGAGGUGAAAUUCGUAGAUAUUCGCAAGAACACCAGUGGCGAAGGCGGCUCACUGGCCCGAUACUGACGCUGAGGUGCGAAAGCGUGGGGAGCAACAGGAUUAA
rnacentral:rRNA from 1 species